CUAGAGUUCAAUCAAGGAAAGGAUUUUUGUCAGAAGCCAGGGCCACGUCUUCAUUCUGGGCUGCCAGUUCAACCUACUUAUGAUGUUUAGGGCUUUGCUAAAUCUCCUGCGGCAUCAGCUCCCCAGAGGAAGCUGAAGAAACCACCCUGUGAUGGCAUCUCCAAGGGCGAGGGCACAUUAUCCCCAGACUCUAAUGAACCGAGCAGCCCUGUCACCGCCAGACCCACAUCACGCAGUGACCGUGAGGGCUGCUGACUCUGCACUAUGGCUUCCUGGUGCUGACGUGCCUUCUUCUGGCAGAAGAUCCACCUUCUCAUUGCCCAGUGGUGCCCAGAGCCUCCUCAGACAAUCAGCAGUGGGAGAGGGGAGGCCCAGAAGCCAGGGCUCCCCAUCCCCAUCUCACCCAGCUCAGCAAGUCAUCUGGCACCCACUUCAAGUCAACAGCCACUUAUCGGAGCAGGUGCUGUGCACAGUACCAUGCUGAGAGCUUCCCACAGCCCCUCUCCUGGGACCCUCACUAGCGCUCCGUGAAGGAGGGUUCAUCAGCCCUCCUUCCAAGUGGAAAAACUAGGGACGUGCCCCAAGGUCACCUACCUGACCCUAAGACACCCUGAAGGGGAUGCACACACAUCCUCCCACUGCCCCCGUCUACAGAGAUGUGGUUUUCUGUAACCUCCAGGUACAGUCUCCCUUCUUCUAUAAUUAGCUAUUGUUUACCUGGAAUCAUUCCAUAGAUCCCACUGAGUAAAUGGCAGAGAUCAGAGUUGCCUCCUGGAACCCAAGGGCAGGACCACACAGUUGGCAGACCUCACAGCCCUGCUCCCAGGAGGUCCUUGUUUAACCACAGUCACCAGGGUGCUGGGUCUACAGGAGGCCUGCCCCGCUUUGAACUUUUCAGCAAUCACAAGAGGACGUGUUAUCAAAACCGGUUUGUGGAGGUUGAAAGGCUUUGGAUGAAGAUCUCAGUGGUGGGACGGCUGGACUCAGGCAAAAACGCAAGGCCAUGAACUGUCUGGGUGAAACAUGAUGACUGUCAUGAAAUUUUAACUAAACCCUUACUGGCAUGAAUAAUUGAGCACGAGAGUCAGGGUGGCUGACUUCCUCGGUCCUGCUCGCGAAGGAGAGCUGGGGCAGCCUCGGCUUCGGGAGCAGGCCCUGGGGGAUCUGCUGACGCCCCAGGUACAAAGGGGGCCCGGUGGGACUUCACCCUCAUGGGCCCCAGGAGCUUCCCCCUUAUCCCUCCCCUCAGGGAAGUCAUUUCUCCCCACUUCCUGUUCUGUUUGACCUGGCUGGAAGUGGCAGGGGAGAGGAGUAGAUAGGAGAAGAGCCAGAAAAGCAAGAGGGCUUGAGGGCUGCGGGCUGGGUGGCAGUUGAACCUCAGGUAUAAAUCGUGAUUCUCCAGCUUGCUGGAUGUGCCAUCUUUCUUUAUUUAUUCUUAAUUGAAGGAUAAUGGCUUUACAAAACUGUGUUGGUUUCUGCCACACGUCAACAUGAAUCAGCCAUAGGCAUACACACAUCCCCUACCUCUUGAACCUCCCUCCCACCUCCCACCUCAUCCCAACCCCUCCAGGCAGUCAGAGAGCACCGAUCUGAGCUCCGAGUCACACAGCAAGUUCCCCCUGGCCGCCCACUGUACAUAUGGCAGCGUAUAUGCGACUCUGUGUACAUGCUACUCUCUCCAUUCACCCCACCCUCUCCCUUCUCCGUGUCUGCAUCUCCACUGCAUGCGUGAGUGCGUGCUAAGUCCCUUCAGUCCUGUCUGACACUCUGCGACCCUAUGGAGCAUAGCCCUCCAGGCUCCUCUGUGCGUGGGAUUCUCCAGGCAAGAAUACUGGAGUGGGUUGCCAUGUCCUCCUCCAGGGGAUCUUCCUGACCCAGAGCUAGAACCCAUAUCUCCUGCAUCUCCUGCAUUAGCAGGCAGAUUCUUUACCCACUGAGUCACCUGGGAAGCCCCCAUCUCCAUCGCCACCCUGCAGAUAGGUUCCUCAGCACUUCCAGACUCCACAUAUAUGUGGUAUUCGUUUUUUUUUCUUUCCCUCUGACCCACCCCACCCUGUAUAAUAGGCUCUAGGUUCAUCUAACUCAUUAGAACUGACUCAAAUACAUUCCCUUUUAAUGGCUGAGUAAUACCCCACCACCCACGUGCACCACAGCCUCUCCAUCCACUCAUCUGUUGAUGGACAGCCAGGCUGGCUCCAUGUCCUAGCCACUGUAAACAGUGCUGCAAUGAGUAUUGAGGUCACUCUACCAUCUUCAGCAACUCACUGUACCUCUUUGAGCUUCAGUUUCCUUAUCUGAAAACUGAGGACUAUAAUUCCCACCAUUUUAUAAAUGCUGAUUAUUUUCUCCUAGCCUAUCCCCCACUGCUCAGCCCAUAGCCCUGAUAAGUUCCUCUCCCCCUUCCACCACCCCAGCAACCCUCAGCUUACAAACAGUAUUGAGAUGAACAGGGGGUCCACACUGGCCCAGCUAUCAAAUUUCCCCUCCUGGGAAUCUCAGUUUGGAACAUAGAGUCAGAGUCACCAAGCUCUGGUAGCAAGCUGGAAGUGCAAGGAGCUCAGGGCAGAUAGAAGCUACCAUUUUGGUGUGGUCACAGUGGCUCAGGGUGAGCAGAGAUACCCCCCACCCACACACCCAUGCUCAUGAAUGAGUACAAUUGAAAACUGGAGAAAUCUGAGCAAGAUGGGUGGGUUGCAUCAAUGUCAGUCUCCUGAUUAUGAUAUUGUCUUGCAGCUUUACAAGAUGUUACUAUUAGGGAGAAAUGGAUAAAGGGCACACAAGAUCUGUCUCAUUCCUUUCUUUUUUUAAACUAAACUAAAUGUCACUUCCUCCACAGGUUGAGAAGUGCUUUCCUGGCUGGGGGCUGUGGUAGAAUCCGUCAGGCCUAAAUGAUGUGGGCAGGGCUCCCAUUAGAUCCAGUGGAAGAAGGGGCUUAUCUGGGUGCCAUCCGUUGCCAAGUGGGGCUAAUAGAGAAACUGGGCCUGGGUCUCCUUCUUCUGUAGGGCAGGGGAGAGGCGUCUAAGACAUCAUGCUACCAUGUUCCUCCAGUCCUGGGGUUCCUAACCCAUCUGCCUUCCUCUGUCCACUUUUCAUAGUGCUCUUUGGUUCUCUUGUUAUUUCCAACAAUGAUAGUUACACCCUAGGGAGGAACAGGAAAAGAUCACUGUAUAAUUUCCUAUAACUUCAUAGGGCUCUUCAAUUAUCCCCACCCCCUAAAAGGUUAAUUUUUAAAAUAAAAUAAAUAUUUGCCAGAAAAAAUAAAUAAGG
rnacentral:lncRNA from 1 species